AAUUUUCUGGCCCGGUGAGAUAAUUUCUUCUUUUCCCCGUAGUGAAUUAUCUGCGAACAACCCAUAAUUUUAUACCAGCCGUAUCUCUGGCUACUGCUUCACCGCGAGUAUCUGCAGCGCACGAGCUGCCCGCGGUCCCAUCCCUCACACAGUCGGUUUGUCACGCAGGGAAGCGGCCUCCUGCCUUCGUGGGAGCGCGGAGGCUGUGGGGAGCAGGGCGGGGAGGCGCUGGGGCAGGCUGCGGGCCGGUCCCAGCUCGGGCUCCUCGUUUGCGGCAUUCCCGGGUCCGGGAGAGGCGGGCCCGGCCGCCGGGUGAUGCUCGGGCCGUUACCACGGCAACCGCCCCCCCAUCCGCGCCGCUCGGCCCCACGUGACCCGCGGCGGCGCUCGCGGCCAGCCCGCCUGUUACCAAGGCGGGGGCCCGUGGGGGGGCGCUCUUGUUUCCGAUUGGCUGCUGCCGGGGCUCGCUGAUUGGCGGAGGGCGGACGGGCGGCGCGCCGAUUGGCCGGGCCCGGAGGUGAGGCUGUGGGGUGAUGCCGGCCGGCCCGCGCCGCGCCGGGACACAGACAAAGACCGCUCGAAGGCUGCCCAAAGGCUGCCCGAGCUCUCCCCCCGCGCCCCCGGGCUGGCGGGACGCUCCGGGCGCGCUGCUGGGAGGUGGCAACGCGAGCCUGGCCGAGCGCCCACACGCCCCGCGCCCUCCCCGCCCGGCCGCCCGCUCCGACUGGCGCUGGGGCACGCGGCGCGCGGAGGGGCGGAGCCUGUGCCACGCUCGCCGAGCGCUCGGCAGCCAAUGGGCGGGCCGGGAGAACGCGGGCAGCACGCGGGGCCCGCGUGUCCCCGCGGCACGGGCUGUCAAUCACCCGUCAGUCACUCGCCCCGCCCGGAGUGGGGGAGGGCGGGCCCGCAGCGCCGCUCCGUCACGGUGCCCCUCGCUGCGACCCGCGCCCCGGCGGCACCGGCCAGCGUUCUGCGGCCGCCGCUGCCUCGGCCCGGGGGUGGGGUGCGAGGGAAUCGCCGCCGCACUGGAACGGUUCCCCUGGGGCCUCAGUCCCGCAGUUUCUUGGCCGCCAGCGCCGAGCCCGCGCGGCCCGGCCCCCUCGGGAUGCCCGCGCUGCGGGCUCUGCUCCCGGCGCCCUCCGCUCCCGGCGCCCUCCCCCGGUGGGGGGUGAGAGGCGGAGCCGCCGUGGCCGCCGCCCGCCGCCUUUAUCUGGCGUGGCGGCGCAGGGGGUGGCACUGGGGAACACCUUGUUGUAAGAUACGCGCUAUAAAUACGGCGCCGGGGAUGGGAGCGUGGCCACGGGCGGCGGGGAACAGCUCCGGAGCACGGUGGGUCCCUUCCCCGCGGCCGGGGACAGCUUAAAUUCUAAUUCACCGGCGCGGUGCGGGCCUGCCAGCCCCUCGGCCACCCCCAACACCCGGUUCCCGGGAGGAGUUGCGGGGGAUUUCUGCGUUUUGCCUUGUUGUGUACGGAGGGGAGCGGCGGCAGCGAGCCCCGGUGGCUGCCGCAGGGCAGCCGGAGGAGCGGAGGCAGGACUCUGAUCGCGAGCAGCCGCCGAGCCCAUCCUGCGACGGAGGGCGGCCGGUGCCGCUAGCGCGGAGGAGGAGGAAGAGGUCGCCAGAGGAGCCCCGCGGGUCCGGUCCGAGCCGCGUCGCUGAGCACGCCCGCCCG